rnacentral:rRNA from 1 species
ACUCAAAUGAAUAGACGGGGGCCCGCACAAGCGGUGGAGCAUGUGGUUUAAUUCGACGCAACGCGAAGAACCUUACCUGGGCUUGAACUACUCGUGGUAGGUCGCUGGAAACAGUGACUGACCCGCAAGGGAGCGAGCAGAGGUGCUGCAUGGUUGUCGUCAGCUCGUGUCGUGAGAUGUUGGGUUAAGUCCCGCAACGAGCGCAACCCCUAUCCAAUGUUGCUAAUCCCGCAAGGGAUGCACUCUUUGGAAACUGCCUUCGAUAAGAAGGAGGAAGGUGGGGACGACGUCAAAUCCUCAUGGCCCUUAUGUCCAGGGCUACACACGUGCUACAAUGGUCGGUACAGCGGGAAGCAAUACCGUAAGGUGGAGCAAACCCCUAAAAGCCGGCCCCAGUUCAGAUUGUGGGCUGCAACCCGCCCACAUGAAGGCGGAAUCGCUAGUAAUCGCGAAUCAGCAGGUCGCGGUGAAUACGUUCCCGGGCCUUGCACACACCGCCCGU